UUAGCAUUCACAUCAACGUACGAUAACUAUAAAGAUAACUAUAUUAGCAUCCACACCAACGCACGAUAACUAUACUGAUAACUAUAAAGAUAACUAUAUUAGCAUCCACAUCAACGAAUGAUAAUUAUAUUAGCAUUCACAUCAACGCACGAUAACUAUAACGAUAACUAUAAAGAUAACUAUAUUAGCUUC